rnacentral:snoRNA from 1 species
UUUUUGGGAUGAGUCAAACUAGCUCACUAUGGCUGACAGUGAGAACAUUUGAAACCUGAGAAGC